GAUUAAAAUGACCACCUGAGCACCAUAUCAAAGUAUUUACAGAUCUGAUUUGAUGUUGGACUGGGGUGUCAUGAUUCUCAAACUGUCUACUGCAGAUAAUGGAUCUGGGGUGGCAGAGAUGAUGUCAAGUUUUGAAACCAAUGCAGAAUUAAAGAUUGUCCAGUGAUUCUAUUUGAAUGUCUAUGUAGUGAUCAAAACCUGUGGGGUUUUUUUUUUUGUUUUUUUGCUGAAAUAAAACUUUGAAGUGGA